rnacentral:rRNA from 1 species
GCUUGCUCCACCGGAAAAAGAGGAGUGGCGAACGGGUGAGUAACACGUGGGUAACCUGCCCAUCAGAAGGGGAUAACACUUGGAAACAGGUGCUAAUACCGUAUAACAAUCAAAACCGCAUGGUUUUGAUUUGAAAGGCGCUUUCGGGUGUCGCUGAUGGAUGGACCCGCGGUGCAUUAGCUAGUUGGUGAGGUAACGGCUCACCAAGGCCACGAUGCAUAGCCGACCUGAGAGGGUGAUCGGCCACAUUGGGACUGAGACACGGCCCAAACUCCUACGGGAGGCAGCAGUAGGGAAUCUUCGGCAAUGGACGAAAGUCUGACCGAGCAACGCCGCGUGAGUGAAGAAGGUUUUCGGAUCGUAAAACUCUGUUGUUAGAGAAGAACAAGGAUGAGAGUAACUGUUCAUCCCUUGACGGUAUCUAACCAGAAAGCCACGGCUAACUACGUGCCAGCAGCCGCGGUAAUACGUAGGUGGCAAGCGUUGUCCGGAUUUAUUGGGCGUAAAGCGAGCGCAGGCGGUUUCUUAAGUCUGAUGUGAAAGCCCCCGGCUCAACCGGGGAGGGUCAUUGGAAACUGGGAGACUUGAGUGCAGAAGAGGAGAGUGGAAUUCCAUGUGUAGCGGUGAAAUGCGUAGAUAUAUGGAGGAACACCAGUGGCGAAGGCGGCUCUCUGGUCUGUAACUGACGCUGAGGCUCGAAAGCGUGGGGAGCAAACAGGAUUAGAUACCCUGGUAGUCCACGCCGUAAACGAUGAGUGCUAAGUGUUGGAGGGUUUCCGCCCUUCAGUGCUGCAGCUAACGCAUUAAGCACUCCGCCUGGGGAGUACGACCGCAAGGUUGA